GUGUCAGCAGCCGCGGUAAGACGAACCGUGCGAACGUUGUUCGGAUUCACUGGGCUUAAAGGGCGCGUAGGCGGUCGACCAAGUCUGGGGUGAAAUCUUUCGGCUCAACCGGAAAAGUGCCCCCGAUACUGGCCGGCUAGAGGGAGAUAGGGGCAUGCGGAACUUCCGGUGGAGCGGUGAAAUGCGUAGAUAUCGGAAGGAACGCCGGUGGCGAAAGCGGCGUGCUGGAUCUCUUCUGACGCUGAGGCGCGAAAGCCAGGGGAGCAAACGGGAUUAGAUACCCCUGUAGUCC
rnacentral:rRNA from 1 species